GAUGAGCGCUGGCGGCGUGCUUAACACAUGCAAGUCGAACGAGAACGGGUUAUAGCUUGCUAUAAUUGUCAGCUAAGUGGCGCACGGGUGAGUAAAGUAUAGGUAAUAUGCCUCUUACUAAGGGAUAACAAAUGGAAACGUUUGCUAAUACCUUAUACUCCUUAUUAACAUAAGUUAAUAAGGGAAAGAUUUAUUGGUAAGAGAUUAGCCUGUAUUGUAUCAGUUAGUUGGUGGGGUAAUGGCUUACCAAGACUAUGACACAUAACUGGUUUGAGAGGAUGAUCAGUCACACUGGAACUGAGACACGGUCCAGACUCCUACGGGAGGCAGCAGUGGGGAAUAUUGCACAAUGGACGAAAGUCUGAUGCAGCAACGCCGCGUGGAGGAUGACACAUUUCGGUGCGUAAACUCCUUUUAUAUGAGAAGAUAAUGACGGUAUUAUAUGAAUAAGCACCGGCUAACUCCGUGCCAGCCGCCGCAGUAA
rnacentral:rRNA from 1 species